CAUGUCGAAGGAGAUGCGAUAAGUUUCGGCGUCUGC
rnacentral:sRNA from 1 species